UCCCUGGUGGCUCAGACAAGUAAAGAAUCUGCCUGAAAUGCAGGAGACCCAGGUUCAAUCCCUGGGUUGGGAA
rfam:TPA: Bos taurus chromosome 14, whole genome shotgun sequence.